UGGGGGAUAUUGCACAAUGGGCGAAAGCCUGAUGCAGCGACGCCGCGUGGGGGAUGAAGGCCUUCGGGUUGUAAACUUCUUUUGCUCUGAACAAGGCAUGCUAAUGGGUGUGUUGAGUGUAGGGGUUGAUUAGCGCCGGCUAACUACGUGCCAGCAGCCGCGGUAAUACGUAGGGCGCGAGCGUUGUCCGGAAUUAUUGGGCGUAAAGGGCUUGUAGGUGGCUGGUUGCGUCUGUCGUGAAAGCUCAUGGCUUAACUGUGGGUUUGGGGUGGGUACGGGCUGGCUUGAGUGCAGUAGGGGAGGCUGGAAUUCCUGGUGUAGCGGUGGAAUGCGCAGAUAUCAGGAGGAAUACCGGUGGCGAAGGCGGGUCUCUGGGCUGUUACUGACACUGAGGAGCGAAAGCAUGGGGAGCGAACAGG
rnacentral:rRNA from 1 species